rnacentral:rRNA from 1 species
UACGUAGGGGGCUAGCGUUGUCCGGAUUUAUUGGGCGUAAAGAGCGUGUAGGCGGCCAGGUAGGUCCGGUGUGAAAACUCGAGGCUUAACCUCGAGAUGUCAUCGGAAACCAUCUGGCUAGAGUCCGGAAGAGGAAAGUGGAAUUCCUGGUGUAGCGGUGAAAUGCGUAGAUAUUGGGAGGAACACCAGUGGCGAAGGCGGCUCACUGGACCGGAACUGACGCUGAGGCGCGAAAGCGUGGGGAGCAAACAGG